rnacentral:snRNA from 1 species
UUAGCUCUCUUUGCCUUUUGGCUUAGAUCAAGUGUAGUAUCUGUUCUUUUCAGUUUAAUCUCUGAAAGGCCUCUAAGGAGGCUAAUCUUGAUUAUUCUUAUUUUUGGAACUCGGAUGGGAUCCUCUGUGCCUAGCGCAUGGUGCCGUCCACUGUGUCCCUGGUAUUACACUGUCUCCAGGUGACGCGAACUACG